rnacentral:lncRNA from 1 species
AUGGAAGAGGAGGAGCGGGCCAAGAGAAAGGCAGAGAAGAAGAAGGUGAAGAAGAAGAAACAAAAAGACCGAAAGAAACGGGAGAAACUGGGUCAAGAGCAGAAGAACAAAGAGAGCACUGACCCAAGCCCCCCAAGUGGCCCUGCAGGCGCUGGGCCUCCCUCAGAGGGUGCUGAGGACAAGGGGUGCUGCCCAGAGCCUUCCCCGUGCCCUGGGGACUCCACUGUGCCCUCAGAGGAGUCUGGCCCAGAGGACACAGCAGUGGCAGAGGAGGAGCUGGACCUGAGCUGCACUUUUGUCUGCAAAGCCCGGGAGAAGGCAGGGGUCAGGCUGCCCCCCCCGGGCACUGACCGCUCCCCUGGGCCACAGAAUGUGGUGGAACCAAGCAGGAAGGUGCCAGAGAAGGGAAGUGGGGACCCUGUGGGGACACCUGUGUCCCCUCAGCCCCCCCAGGCCAGCCCACCCAGCCCCAGCAUGCUGGCGCAGAGCCUGGCGCUUGCAGGUCAGUGCAGGGACCCCCAGAGGGGCCAGGGGAGGGCAGUGAGGGCUCUGCCUGCUUCUCACAGCUCAGAGGAGCUGUGCUAGGGACACUGUCCCUCCCUGUGUCCCUGUGUCCCCUCCCCAGGCCACGGCAUCGAGGCAGCCCAGAUGGGCCAACACUCUGAGGCCGUGUGGGCUUUCACCAUGGCCCUGGAGCUGAACCCCCGGGAGCACCGGU